AUUGAGGGAGCGUGCGUCGUGACGUCAUCAAAAGAACUCUUAUAUACAGGAGCCCAGGCACCAUACUGUCUUUUCGAGGUAGGAGUCGACUCCUGUGAGGUAUGGUGCUGGGUGCAGAUGCAGUGUGGCUCUGGAUAGCACCUUAUGGACAGUUGUGUCCCCAAGGAAGGAUGAGAAUAGCUACUGAAGUCCUAAAGAGCAAGCCUAACUCAAGCCAUUGGCACACAGGCAUUAGACAGAAAGCUGGAAGUUGAAAUGGUGGAGUCCAACUUGCCUGGACCAGCUUAAUGGUUCUGCUCCUGGUAACGUUUUUAUCCAUGGAUGACUUGCUUGGGUAAGGACAUGAAGACAGUUCCUGUCAUACCUUUUAAAGGUAUGGAGAGUCGGCUUGACUACACUGUGUGGAGCAAGUUUUAAAGAAGCAAAGGACUCAGAAUUCAUGAUUGAAGAAAUGCAGGCAGACCUGUUAUCCUAAACUAGGGUUUUUAAUGACCACAACAAGCAAGCAUGCAGCUUACUGCUUGAAAGGGUCUUGCCUCACCCAAGCUAGAGUGCAGUGGCCUUUGAAGCUUACUACAGCCUCAAACUUCUGGGCUCAAGUGAUCCUCAGCCUCCCAGUGGUCUUUGUAGACUGCCUGAUGGAGUCUCAUGGCACAAGAAGA
rnacentral:lncRNA from 1 species